rnacentral:tRNA from 1 species
UUGGCGGUAACUCAAAUGGAAAGAGUGCUAGAUUGUGACUCUGGUGGUUGUGGGUUCGAGUCCCAUCCGUCAGC